GGUCACAGUGAUGACCACAUAAAAUUCAAGCUCAACAGACCCCAAUGCACCGUUUUCUCUCUUUGGGAAAUUACUUUGCGUGUCGACUGAGUCAUC
rfam:Cajanus cajan CcLG11_1646, whole genome shotgun sequence.